GUGAGGAGGGUGUGGCCAAUCAGGUACGGGAUCCUGCUGGAGCAGCGAGUGACGGCCUCAGAGAUUGACGCCCAGAAGAAUGAACCGGAAAGCCUCCCGACCUUUUACAGUUUGCUGAACCCGCUGGACGAAACCAAUCCGCUGCUCUAUUGAACAGUAGGCGUCCCGCCUACAUGAGUGAUUUAGCGCAGCGGGCCGUCUUCAUGUCCCCAGACCCCUCCUCCUGCAUCCUCUUCAGCUCAGGCAACAACAGCCACACCACAUGGAAGACACGCCGGGCCAGGACAGAGUUGAACCCCAUCAGUGUUUGGCGGACAGCAUCUUCCUCUGGCCCUUCCCUGGACACCGCACCCCACGCACCUCACAGCUGACGUCCCUCAAGGAAACACUCUCCGAACCAGAGCCUCUCGUGCCGGACAUCUGCCUGGACUACCUCUGGACCGACCACUCCCUCCCCCGAGCCUUCCUGACGGAGGGCCACGUGGAGUAGCAGUACCUCUACCUCGUGCUGUCACUGGCGGGAACUUUGCGCCGCAUCAAGAAGGGGACUGUGUCACCAUGGACGUCACUGCCCCGGGAGCCACCUCGGCCCUGGGCAGGAUUUAUUUCCGGAGCAACAACAAGGCCACUGCCGAGGGGAUGGCUGCAUCCAACACUCCGUACCUGCUGGACCAGGAGUAGCCAUGAAUGGCCUCAAUGAAGAACGCGAGAAGUCCGAACAUGAGACACAGGAGGAGGAGGAGGAGGAGGAGAGCCUGAUACAACAAGAAUGUGGCUUCACCUACAGGGGAUGCAUUUGAGAUUAAGGAGUGUGACACCAAGGUGGCCUGCCAGUGCUCAAUGUGUUCUUCCUCAACCAUUCCUACCUCCUCGGGGGAGACGCCAGCAAAAAGUGAGCCUUCGGGGACUUGGGGGAAGGGACACACACACACACACACACACACACCUUACCUAACCUAAUCUAACCUUGCCUAACCUAAUCUAACCUUCCCUAACCUAAUCUAACCUUAUCUAACCUAAUCUAACCUUCCCUAACCUAAUCUAACCUUAUCUAACCUAAUUUAACCUUACCUAACCUUAUCUAACCUUGCCUAACAUAAUCUAACCUAAUCUAACCUUACCUAACCUUAUCUAACCUUGCCUAACCUAAUCUAACCUUGCCUAACCUAAUCUAACCUUGCCUAACUUUGCCUACCCUAAUCUAACCUUGCCUAACCUUACCUAACCUAAUCUAACCUUACACACA